rnacentral:rRNA from 1 species
GACGAACGCUGGCGGCGUGCUUCAUACAUGCAAGUCGAACGAGAAGCUAGAGCUUGCUCUAGUGGAAAGUGGCGGACGGGUGAGUAAUAUGUAGGAAAUCUGCCCUAGAGAGGGGGACAACAGAAGGAAACUUCUGCUAAUACCCCAUAUGAGCUUGGUUGAAAUACCAAUCUUGAAAACUCCGGUGCUCUAGGAUGAGCCUGCACCUGAUUAGCUUGUUGGUGAGGUAACGGCCCACCAAGGCGACGAUCAGUAGCCGGCCUGAGAGAGUGAACGGCCACAUUGGGACUGAGACACGGCCCAAACUCCUACGGGAGGCAGCAGUGGGGAAUAUUGCACAAUGGGGGAAACCCUGAUGCAGCGACGCCGCGUGAGGGAAGACGGUCCUCUGGAUUGUAAACCUCUGUCUUCGGGGACGAAACGAGACGGUACCCGAGGAGGAAGCCACGGCUAACUACGUG